rnacentral:tRNA from 1 species
AAUAGUUUAAAGGUUAGAACUUGGCAAUCAUAAUGCUACAAUAAAGGUUCGAAUCCUUUUU